UGGGGAAUAUUGCACAAUGGAGGGAACUCUGAUGCAGCGACGCCGCGUGAACGAAGAAGGCUUUCGAGUCGUAAAGUUCUUUUAUAUGGGAAGAUAAUGACGGUACCCUGUGAGGAAGCCCCGGCUAACUACGUGCCAGCAGCCGCGGUAAUACGUAGGGGGCUAGCGUUAUCCGGAUUUACUGGGCGUAAAGGGUGCGUAGGUGGUCUUUCAAGUCGGUGGUUAAAGGCUACGGCUCAACCGUAGUUAGCCUCCGAAACUGGAAGACUUGAGUGCAGGAGAGGAAAGUGGAAUUCCCAGUGUAGCGGUGAAAUGCGUAGAUAAUGGGAGGAACACCAGUAGCGAAGGCGGCUUUCUGGACUGCAACUGACACUGAGGCACGAAAGCGUGGGUAGCAAACAGG
rnacentral:rRNA from 1 species